rnacentral:rRNA from 1 species
CGUAGGGCGGAGCGUUGUCCGGAUUCAUUGGGCGUAAAGCGCGCGCAGGCGGUUGGCAGAGCCCGGCGUGAAAAGCCCCCACGCUCAACUGGGGAGGCCGUCGGAGACCUGUCGACUUGAGGCCGGUAGGGAGAGCGGAAUUCCCGGUGUAGUGGUGGAAUGCGUAGAUAUCGGGAGGAACACCAGUGGCGAAAGGCGGCUCUCUGGACCGGUACUGACGCUCAGGCGCGAAAAGCGUGGGAGCGAUCCGGAUU